AUGGAUUCGACGUGCGUCCAGGAGUACUACACCGCCUACGCCUUCACCUGCACGCCCGUCCGCCUCGGCCGCUCGCCCACCCACGCCGACGAGGCCAUCCGCAUGGCCCAGUCCUACACCGCCGGGAGCCCCGCCGCCCCCGCCUCCCUCCCGACCCUCGCCGCCGCCUGCGCCUUCCUCGUCGCGCGGUUCCACCGCCUCCCGCUCUCGCUCGCCGAGGCCGCGCCCAGCUGCACCGCGGCCGCGCUCGCCGACCUCGCGGCCGGCGUCGCCGCCCGCCUCUCCCUCCCUCCCCUCCCGCCCUUCAACUACUCCGCCGCGCUCGAGCGCGCCGUGCGCUGCUCCUGCCCGCUCUCCACCGCCGGGGACACGGAGGCGAUCCUCUCCCAGGCCCGGUUCCUCCUCCGCUGCGCCUGCAGGUGGUCCCUCGCUGCCGGCCGGCGCCUGCUCCCGCUCAUCGCCGCGCUCGCCUUGGCCGCCGAGCUGAACGGGAUCCCCUACGUUUCUGCCGAAGACGUCGCGCGGGACAUGUCAGCGGCCGUGCCCGCGCGCACCAGCCGUCGCCGGUACGAUGAGCUCGUCGACGCGCUGGUUCGUGUGGCGCGGGCAUUGCUUCCGUGGGGCACCGAAGUCCACGCCGGAAACCUCCUCCGGGACGCGCCCAUGCUGCUCCGGCUCGUCCAGUCCGACCCGUGCGACCAGUUCAGCUUCACGCCGGCCCCGGCCGGCGUCGUGCAAUCCGCUGAUGAGAUUGUUCCCCUGGAAGAUGUUGACGCUGAUGAUCUGGAUCUCAAGAACACCGUCUUCAAGACCCUCUCUCAGCUGAAGGAGCUCGCGGAGGUUGGCAAAACUGCUAGCCGGAGGGAGCGGUGGAGGGCAUGGCUGGAGCUGGACAUGCUGGAGCCAUGGAUGGACUCGCUGGACGAGGGAGAUGGCUGGACCAGGCUUGAGGAGGAGGUAGCAGAUGCCGGCGUCACUCCUCCGUCUUUCACCGCCGGACUAAUUCAUCUGCAGAAGCAGAGGAGGGCACGGAUCAAAGCCGCCAAGCGCCGUCGAAUCGAUUCUCCUGAUGACUCUGGGAAGGAGAAGAAACGGAAAAGAUCAGGGCCAUGUGUUGCAAUGGCGGAGAUUGAACAAGGCCGGUACAGAAGAUUGCUGGAGUCGCAUGUCUUCAGUGCUGCGUUCAAUCCUGAAGGGGUUGGUGCUUCCUUCUCACGUUCACGUGGUGCAAGCACCAGAGGAGAUCUAGGAAGAGAUCGAUCCUUGAAUAUUGUACAUGUAGGGGUUUGGAUGAUACUCAUCUUCCUUUUCUUCCUUCUUCUCUUUUUCAUACUCCUCUUUCUUCUCUUCUCCAGGCUUCACGUCCUACCGCUUCUUUUCCUUGACGCCCAUCCUUCAAAGUUCUUCCCAGAUUUUAGGGAUCAUAUCUUCCCACUCGGGAGAGAAAUGAUGUUGCUCGAAGAAGGGCUCGCAAGGGAUGACUCUUUCUUGACGAUGGUUUUUUUAACCAACGCAAAGCUGCUAAAAUGCCUGCUUCCUGAUGCCCUCCUUGAGCUGGUCAUCUUGAGUUGUUCUCCAAAGUUUGGAUUAAGAAAUCUCAAGGGUUGCUUUUCUCAGAAACACAUUAGGGUCAUCCUGAAGUGCGCAAGGAGGAGGCCACCACAGGUCCAAAUCUUGCUGGAUCUACAUCGAUUAAAAGCCAGGUAUGGUGGUGAUUCUCUGGUUUUCACUGCUAAAAGGAACAAGGAGGAUUUGAAGAUCAAAUCCAGCCACUUGUCAUCGGUUACAAGCUACCACGCGCUGAGUUAUACCCAUGUCUCCAUAAGGACUCAGGAUCUUAACGAUGAAGCUUCAGUGACAAGAAGACCAGCCAAGCAUCAAGUCGCAACAGAGAGAGCACGCACGCAACGCAGUUUCCUCACCCUUCUCCCUUUCUCCGCCCGGCGCCGCCACCCCUCUUCGCCGCGCCGCAAGCUGGACUCAUGGGGCUCGGCAUCGACGGCGAUGGGCAACGCCGCCUUCCCUCACCACAACGGACGCAGGCGGACGCGUCUCCCCUGGUUUCUCGUUGAACGACACAGGCAGCCCCACUGUCGCAAGAAUGGACAAGGAAAAGGGAAAGGAGAGGAGGAGGAGAAGGAGAAAGAGAGGUGCUUGGUCUCCAUUAUGAAGACUAAGCCGCCUACCCCAGGAAGCAGAAGGGGAAGGGCAAGGGCUGUGUCGCUGCCAAGGAAGCGGGCCAAGGAAUUACGGCAUUGUCCCGCUCGCCAAGUUGUUAUUACGGGUAAAAAAAAACUCCACCGCCUUGACAUCUCGCUGACCCCGCCGACGCCAGCGUGUGUGCCACGAUCGCCGCUGCCAACGGCUUCGCAAACGACUCCGAGAGGGAGACUACAUCUUCACCGGCAAUGGAGCAUGAUAAGCAAGGAGAGAAGGAUUAUGAAGAGGAAGAGAAUGAGGAGGAAGAGGGUUCUGCUGCCUCCCAGAUGUUGUGGCGCUAGCUGGCUCACGAGCCGGCUCGGUCUGAGCCGAGCCAUUGCAAAAACGAGCCGAGCCGCCUAA
rnacentral:rRNA from 1 species